rnacentral:rRNA from 1 species
GACGAACGCUGGCGGCGUGCUUAAUACAUGCAAGUCGAACGGACAGGCCCUGCUCUUGCUGCUUUCUCGUUUGCCGCGCAGGUGAGUAUCACGCGUGUAACCUCCCCUUGUCUUUCUGAUAUCUUCUGGGAACUGCGGCUCUUAUCGCGUAUGAUCUCCUGCUGCAUGUUGUUGGUUGGUGAGGUUCGGCGGUUGGGUCUAGACUCGCUGCUUCUCGGCUUGUUUGUCGGGUAGUGGCUUUCCCAGGCUUUGACGGGUAGCCGGCCUGAGAGGGUGACCGGCCACAUUGGGACUGAGAGACGGACCAGAAUCGUACGGGAGGCAGCAGUGGGGAAUAUUGCACAAUGGGCGGAAGCCUGAGGCAGCAACGCCGCGAGCGGGAUGACGGCCUUCGGGGUGUAAACCGAUGUCGAAGGUGACGAAGCGUGAGUGACGGUAAUGGGUAAAGAAGCAACGGCUAACUACGUG